rnacentral:rRNA from 1 species
UACGGAGGGUGCAAGCGUUAAUCGGAAUUACUGGGCGUAAAGCGCACGUAGGUGGUUUGUUAAGCUAGCUGUGAAAUCCCCGGGCUCAACCGUGGAACUGCUCGGUAUACUGGCGAUCUUGAGCCACCUAGGGGCAACUGGAACAAGCGGUGGAGCGGUGAAAUGCGUAGAUAUCGGGAGGAACAUCAGUGGCGAAGGCGGCUACCUGGCCCAAUACUGACACUCAGGUGCGACAGCGUGGGGAGCAAACAGG